AUUAAACCUGUGGUAGAAUUCUCAUUCAGAGCUAGUGAAACCACGAGUAAAACUUGUGUAUUCCUUACCAUACUCAUCUAAUGGAGCUUGGUCAUAGUAACUUGUGAUCAUAUAUUCCGCAGCAGUCCUUCCAAAAUUGGUUCCUCCAUGAUACUGAUAAUGCAGCCAUCCAGAGAACCUUGUUAGAAGAUGCUAAAAUUUGAUACACUGGACUUGGUAGUGAAGUAUGUUGGCUCUAUUCGGUAUGAGGAUCUGGAGCAUCAUCUUGCUUGCACAUGCACCAUGGGACACCAGUUUGAAGUCCAACAGCCAUCUCCGCCGCCCACGACACAUAAGGAGGACCAUCUUCUCCAAAUGCUUUUUCUACAUUUUGAUAUUCAUUCUCUAUCUGCAUGUACACAAAAAAAUCAACUUCUAACAAUUUACAUCCUUUUUUUUUUAAAACAUUAGUCGUAUAAUCUAAAAGAUAACUACAUGAAAAA